rnacentral:rRNA from 1 species
UACGUAGGGGGCAAGCGUUGUCCGGAAUUAUUGGGCGUAAAGAGCGUGUAGGCGGCCAGAUAAGUCCGCUGUGAAAUCUCGAGGCUCAACUUCGAGCUGUCGGUGGAAACUAUCUGGCUAGAGUCCGGAAGAGGAGAAUGGAAUUCCUGGUGUAGCGGUGAAAUGCGCAGAUAUCAGGAGGAACACCGGUGGCGAAGGCGGAUCUCUGGGCCUUACCUGACGCUCAGGCACGAAAGCUAGGGGAGCGAACAGG